rnacentral:miRNA from 1 species
GCAGACACAUUCCAGCCAAUCAGCAGCAGACCCUCCCUCCCAAACCUUCCCACCUCCUGGACAGCAUCCAUUUUACAUUCAUUGUGAAGCUGCAUUCUUAGUGAGCUGUCCAGGAGGUGGGAGGGUCUGGGAGGGAGGGUCUGCUGCUGAUUGGCUGGAAUGUGUCUG